rnacentral:lncRNA from 1 species
CUCCACAGGACAAAGAGGAAAGGAGAGAAAACAAAUUGGCAUCAGUCAAUAUUAUUACCUCCCAGUGGCUACUGUCAGAGUUGAGAAGUAGAAAACGAAACCUAGCAAAAAAUCUGAAAGAUUUAACGUGCAUGUACAUUUCAUUUAUUCAUGUUUUUACUCUCUUUACCAACAAUAACUGAAAAUAAACUGAUAACAAACACUU